AAAAGAGGUUGGUAGCUUAACCUUCGGGGGGUCGCUUACCCCUUUGUGAUUCAUGACUGGGGUGAAGUCGUAACAAGGUAACCGUAGGGGAACCUGCGGUUGGAUCACCUCCUUACCUUAAAGAAGC
rnacentral:rRNA from 1 species